GACGAACGCUGGCGGCGUGCCUAAUACAUGCAAGUAGAACGCUGAAGGAGGAGCUUGCUUCUCUGGAUGAGUUGCGAACGGGUGAGUAACGCGUAGGUAACCUGCCUGGUAGCGGGGGAUAACUAUUGGAAACGAUAGCUAAUACCGCAUAAGAGUAGAUGUUGCAUGACAUUUGCUUAAAAGGUGCAAUUGCAUCACUACCAGAUGGACCUGCGUUGUAUUAGCUAGUUGGUGAGGUAACGGCUCACCAAGGCGACGAUACAUAGCCGACCUGAGAGGGUGAUCGGCCACACUGGGACUGAGACACGGCCCAGACUCCUACGGGAGGCAGCAGUAGGGAAUCUUCGGCAAUGGACGGAAGUCUGACCGAGCAACGCCGCGUGAGUGAAGAAGGUUUUCGGAUCGUAAAGCUCUGUUGUAAGAGAAGAACGAGUGUGAGAGUGGAAAGUUCACACUGUGACGGUAUCUUACCGGAAAGGGACGGCUAACUACGUG
rnacentral:rRNA from 1 species